AAUGGCAAAGUUAACAGUUUUCCUUGCUGAAUUUAUCACUCAUUUUUAAUAACAGAUGAUUGGCAUGUCAAUGCUAGCUUACAGUGGAACUCAGCUGUAAGGAUUGAAACAUGUUAGCCCCGAUGCUAACUGAUUCUGAGAUUAAUUAAUCGGUAAUGUUUGAUAUCAGAAUGAUGUUAACUACUGUUCUGGCUAUAUAUGGGCCCUAUGAGGAUCUGGAUCAGUCCACGGGUGCUUCUGGUCACGGCUAUGCUCUGUGAAGUGGGGGGGCUCUCAGCUGGCACCGCAGGGCAGGACCCAGGGUUGUUGGAGGCAGACUGGGGCUCUAUGGCACUGCCAUCUGCUGCUGAGUGAGGAGAGAUGAUGAAAGAUUCAGAGGCUGGGACUCACUCAUCUGUUAUCGAUUAUGCUACAGAUGUGCGAGCAUCCCGCUCAGAGAUGGACAGGCCAGAAGGGAGCCGUGACUAAGGGAAGCUGCCAAAUGUGACGCUACAAUACAAUUGUUUUUGGAUUACAGACUUUGCAGACAUAACAACACAUACACAUACGUAAUACCAGAGUCAUACCCUGGUUGUUACUCUAGGACUUACAGUAAAUACCAAAACGUGGUUAAAGGACAAAUAUAAACACAUUAUAUGACUACAUCUUCUAAUGUCCCUAUAAGGUCUAAUACCAGAAACCUAUACUAGUGCACAUUUAUGUGCAUUUAUGCACUGAUCUAGAUCAAACACAGCACCUGAAGCUUGUAAAAACAUAUCAUACAAAUUGGAAUUGAAUUCUCCUGGUACAUAUAAUUUGCUGUUGUUUCAUUUCUAACACUGUCUAAACCCUGAAUAGGAUAGUAUUUAUAGAAGUCUGUAACACAUCUAGGACUUCCACAGGGCCAAAGCGACUUUUACUGACAAAACUGGU